ACGACUCGUAGCGAACCAGUCGCGGGGAGGGAGAGAGAUGGGCAACAGAGGCCACAAGCAUAGGAGCAACCAAGGAGGAUUAGCAACGGAGGUCGCAUGAUCCAGAGGACGACACCAGGAAUGAACGGUGUGGCCAAGCAUCAUGGCCAUGGAGGCGCGGUCACCGCAGCAAUGACGGCAGCGAUGUGAGGUGGGAGGGUUGCAUGGAGUUUGAGGAAGGGUCGGAUGGGGGAUCUGAUGGAGGAGAGAGCCUUGCGACUGCCAUUUCUAUCUGAUGGAGUUCGAGGAAGGGUCGAGGGGCAGCUUCUCUUCUUCCAACCGAACAAGAAUCCCUUCACUAGUACCCUCCCCGCGACUGCCAUUUCUAUCGUAGCCAAGGCCACCACCCGGAGAGAGAACCGUACCGCUCGACAUGAACGCAUCCGCAAGAAGACUAUCAGGGAGAAAUUUGACGGGGAAUAUACCUGCAGAGCUUGCUAGUUUAACUGGCCUAGUCGAAUUAUGGCUUGAUGGAAACGUGCUUAGUGGCCAUAUACCUGCUCUCGGUGCAUGCUUAAGUCUCAGAAACAUUCACCUUGAGAACAAUAAGUUAACUAGUGAUCUAUCAUUUUGGCCUAUCAAAUUUACAAGAACUGUAUGUCCUUUCUUGCCAUUAUAUUGUCAUUUAACGAACAUCAAUGUUUGCCCAAAUUUGUUCUCUUUUAACGUUUGGCUUUGUCUAGCACCAACUCCAGCAUGAAGUAACUAUUGAGCUUGCAGGUACGUGCAGAAUAAUAUGCUUUCCGGAACAGUACCUGGUCAUCUUCUUGGCAAAAAUAUAGUUUUCACGUGGGUAUUUCUUAUUAGAUUGUGUUGAAUAUCUCUUUAAGUCCUACUUUCCAAUGAAAUUACAAUUAUCAAACUUGGGUAUGCUAUUUUGAGGCGUAUCCCCAAGAAACUUAGACUAUUUUCAAGAGAAGGUAGGUACGACUCAAUACAACUGACUAACUUUUGUCUGAAACAUGUAUAUGAAUUAAAGAUAUUGUUUUUUCAUUUGCAGAUGAUCUUCCACCUCCCCAACCAUUCCAAGAGUUAAGUGCUUCUUUCGGAGGAUUUGCCAUUGAAACAGCACAUAGAUAUUGGUUAUCUGAAAUCAACGAUGCCACAGAAAACUUUGCUAAAAAAGUUGGUUCUGGGGGCUAUGGGAUAGUGUAUUAUGGAAAGUUGAAAAACGGAAAAGAAAUUGCCGUCAAAGUUCAAACCAAUGAUUCUUGUCAGGGAAACAGACAGUUCUCAAGUGAGGUUUCUCUACUUUCAAGAAUACAUCACAGAAAUCUGGUUGAAUUUCUCGGUUACUGCCAGCAAGAAGGCAAAAGCAUUCUUGUAUAUGAGUUUAUGCAUAAUGGAGCACUGAAAGAGCAUCUUCAUGGUAAGCAUCAUUCUGUUAUGUUUCAUAUUUAUCUAAGUUAAGAGUAAUUAGUUGGUUCUGGGUAUUCGCAGGCUCCUUGUCUCAGGAAAGUCCCAUCAGUUGGAUAAACAAACUUAACUCUUUGUAUAAAUCCUUUCACACUUGAUACGCAUAUUGGUGUAAUAAGCAAACUUAACUCUUUGUAUAAACA